rnacentral:tRNA from 1 species
UAAAUAAAUAUCUAAAUUUUAAGUAUAUCGUUUACAAUGAUAAGAUGUUUUUUUAACUUUAUUUAA